rnacentral:misc_RNA from 1 species
GAAGGCUGAGAAGGCUGAGAAGGUGAAGAAGACUAGUCCAGAAAAUGGGAAGGUAGAAGAAGAAGGAGAUUGGUCUGCUAAAAGCUAUGGAAGAUAUAGCAGCAGAAUUGCUUUGCCUGAGAAUGUUCAAUUUGAGCAGAUUAAGGCAGAAGUAAAAGAUGGGGUCUUGUACAUAACUAUACCAAAGGCUAGUGUUACAAGUAAAAUUGUGGACAUCAAUGUCCAGUGAAAAGUUGGGAUUAGUCUUCAAGAGUAGUUAUA